GCGCCUCCGCCCGCCAGCCGCUCCCGCAUUAAAAUUUCAUGGGCGCUGCAGCAGCUUACAAAGACUACGCCGGCUGCGCUCGGGGGACCGGAGGGAGGGAGGCUGCGGACGAGUGCGGGGAGGAGUUUGCGAUGGGAGGCGCUUGCAGGGGCUCCCCCAGUUCUGCGCCGUGAGCCCGGGCACAAAGAGCCCUCUGCACUCGCGCCGCAGGACCGCGGACCCGAGGGCGCACAUGCCUUCCCGGGGUCUUUUCCCAUUUCACCCCCAUCCUGUAUUUGAACACAAGUCGUCCCCCCCUUUGGGGUUCAACAAGCCUGUAUAGAAUCCACUUGCCCCAUUUCUUGCUGGGUGAUGUUGGAGCAAGACACUUGGAGCCUGAUUCCUCAUCUGUAAAAUGGGGACAAGAAACCCCAGUAUAUUCUUUUGUCCGAUAAGAAGACAGGCCCAGAGCCGUGGUGCACAUGCUGGGCGUGGCACAGAAGGACAGAACCCCGGGCCAUCAAGCCUAGGUCCCGUCCAAUGCGUUAAGAUGUUGAGUGACAGCCGGACGCGUCUCCCUGCCCAACCUUUGGGUUCCAGACCUGCCGACGUGACCACCACGAGCCUAACGGCAUCAAAGCAACAACCAAGAUCAAUCGUUCAAUCCUUUUUUGGGUCUGACUUCAUGGAAGUAUGGUGUAAAUGAAGGAAUCUUCAUUUCAAGUGCACAGUUCGGUGAUUUUUGGCAAAUCUACCAAGUUGCGCACCCAUCGCCAUAAAGCCAUUUUGGGAUUUCCCCUGCCCUGGUUUGCCUUUUCUGGACAUUUCACAUACAUGGGGUCAAACAGCAUGUGGGCUUUUGUGUUUGGCUUUCACUCACGUAUUACAUCUUCGAGGUGAAAACAAUUUUGGGAGCACUCACCGUGUGCUAGGCACCGGCUAAAACUUGGAGAAUAAUGAACGUUGAGUCGCACAUCGGAGUGCAGCAAGGUCCUGGGACAGAGGAGAGAGAAGGGGAUUUCCAAAUUCUUCCUGAACAUUCCUGAUCACCUCCGGGAAGCAGGCUUGCAGAUAAGUAUUUCAACUUACCAGCCCACAGCCUACCCGCCUGCCCUCCCUCGGUCUGUGCAGGGAAGCGUAGAACUUCAGAAUUCCCGUGCGGGAGGGGAAAGGGGUGAUCAGCUUUUCUAGCCCUCUAGGUUACAAACAAAGACCUUGUCCGCAUUUCAUGGGGCCCCAGAGAGGGUGAUCGUCACGCCCCUGUUUGACACGGAGGCUAGAAUUUUGUCAGUUCCACCAUCAGCAACUACCACAGACUUGAGUUCAAUGACCUCAUCCCGAGAACCCAUAGAUCUAGGUGUCAGAAGGAGUCAGAAGGGGACUGGGGACUCCUGGUGACUCUUCCCAGUGCUGGCCCUUUGUCGUCAUAAUUGUAAAACUUGGCCCAGGGCUCCUUUACCUGGCAGUGGAGCAGGGACACUGGCACUGUGACUCCAGGCCCGUAUUCUUUCCUCCAGGUCUGGACCUGUGCACUGAGUCCCAGGGGCCCAGAGCAAGCUCUGAACACACACUGAGAGGUGCCCUGACUCUCCUGGCCCAGCCCUGCCAGCGAGUGAAGAUAGCUUAGCCGUCACCAGAACCAAAACCGAGAGAGGAUUCUGGGUCAGCAUUAGCAGGCAUUCAAUGGGGGCAGAAAAGUAUCUAAGGCUGAGCCAUAGGGCCCCCCUAUUUCCUCUUCUCUGCUUCACACUGUGGGUUAGUAUUGUGUGCUCUGGGUGAAUGCAGGUCUGGAAGGAUCCCAGGGCGCAGAGAGAGAGAGAGAGAGAGAGAGAGAGAGAGGGACAGACUUCCCAGGGCUACACAGGAUGGCUGAGCUGGAUCAGAACCCCGGAUUCCUGACUCUGUUCACUGCUUCCGCUCAGCUGUUGCCAAGCUGAAUUUGUCUUACGUUGUCCUGGGCCCCUUCUGCUAUUGUUGGGGAACAGGGAGGGGGGUGAGGGAGACCCCCUUAUCCCAAGGACAUUCUGGGGUGGGAGGAAGGGAGGCAGAGGGGCGUGUGCCUGGGCCGCCUUCUUGUUAGCAGAGACUUCUGGCCAGGCCCGGGCCUGCGGAGGGGGCCUGGGUGCAGUUUUCUCCUGCGGCGUGGUUGGCUCUUUUGUCUUCCAGAAUGGGAUCUGCAUGGGAAAGGAGCUGGGAGCUGGGCCUGGGCUGCCCACGUGUUGGCUGGGCGCUGCCAGCACAAACACGGACCAAGCACCUUCUCCAAGCUGGAUCCGGGGGUUCCGGAGCUGAGCUCCAGAGACACGGUUCUACCCUCUCAGGGGGCUCUGUGUGGCCACAUCUCCAGGACUCCUGGCCUGGUCUUCUCUUUGGAGCCCGGGUGACUCUGGACUCUGGACACAGGGAGCAGCCUUUGGUGGUUUCCUGGAACUCUGGACAAUUCCCCAAAGACCUCAUCUUUCCCAACUGCUAAGACGGAGCCCCCUGCGGAUAAAGGGCCCUCCUGGUUGGCGCUCGGCUGAGGACAGGCCCUGGCUCUGCAGGGCAGCUUGAGGGAGGGGGGUGAGGGAGGCCGGCAGGCCACUGCCCCUCCAUGUCCACCUGGACCCUGCCUGUUGGACCUUACUGUCUGUGCCUGGAGGCCACGUCUUGACCCUGUGCUGACUUGAUACCUCUCUGCAGACCUGCUCGAGGCCAGCCGGAGCUCCACCUGGGCCAAGGCCCUGCUGACUACACCUUACCAAGGCUGGGUCCCAACGGACCCUCCAGGACGGGGCAGGACCACACGGAUGGGAGUCAGGGUGGAGCUGCCUAGUGGGAGGGAGGCAGACCCAGCUUCUUGGGCUCCGUCGGCUGGAGUCUGUCUUGCGCCGUUUGCCUUGAGCGUUUCUCCUUUUUGUGGGUGCUUUCUGGAUGAGGCUUUUCUGUGCUUCUCCUCUGCCUGAUGGUGACACGGAGGAGGCAGGCAGGGUCUGGGAGGAGCCUGGGCCUUCCCCCAGUGUGGUCGGGUUCUGGGGGACAGCUGGAGGGGCAGAAGGUGUGCUAUCCUGAAAGGGGAGGGUUUGCGAGACAUGAGGAGGCCCAGGCCAGGGGAGCUUGCCAGAGGGAGACAGAAACUGGGCCCUGUUCCCACCGUCCAAAAGGAACAGGCUGGAUCCGGCCUUGUUCCCAGGAUCGAGGGGUCAGGUCACCCCAGCCGGAUCUCAGAUCUCUGCUCCUUGUUGCACGGAUCUUUGAUUCUGUCCUUGGGGGGCAAGGCAGGCAGGGUAGGCCCCAGGCACAUGCAGCCCUCCCCUGUCACAUGGCUGCACGUUCACCUCCCUGUGCCCGUCUCCAUUCUCCACUCAGUCCAGCCUGGCUCUGGAGUCCAGUGUUUGCCCAGGAGUAGCCCAUGGGCUUCCAUAGGCAAGUUUAAAAGCUGGGCAUUCUUUUCCCAGGGUGGAGAGGGAGCCUGUAUUAGCUUGAGCUGCCCUAACAGCAGACCACAGCCCGGAAGGGGGGCUUAAAGAGCAGAAAUGUGUUUUCUCAUAAUUCUGGUAGCUAGAAGUCCAAGAUCAUGGUGCGUGUGAGGGGUGGUUUCUCCCGAGGCCUCUCUCGUCAGCUUGUAGACAGCCACCUUCUCACUGUGUCCUCACCCAGCCUUUUCUCUGUGCGCAUUUGAGGCGGAGGGAGGAGGAGGUGUCUGGUGUCUCUUCUGCUUUUUCUAAGGAUGCCAGUCCUAUCGGAGGAGGGGCCCACUCUUAGAGCCUCUUUGAGCCUUACUUUCCUCCGUAAAAGUCCCAUUCCCGAAUACGGUCGUGUUGGGGGUGAUGGCGGCAACCUAUGAAUUUGGGGGGACACGAUCCAGUCCACACAGAUGGUCACCAGAAAUGUGGAAAGCGGGAGCCCUCUUCCCCUCAGCCGCCCCACAGCCAUGGAGAGAGCAAGGGAGAGCAGAGGGAUGGGAAGUAGGGACUCAGUGUGGGAGGCACUGCCCGAGGAUGGUCCCCGGGCUUUAGGGACACAUGGAACUGGCUGGACCAGGGCAGCGUGCAGGACCCCCAGGAGAAGGAUGUCCUGGGAAGAGCCUAAGCUUUGGAGCCAGAGGGUGUGUCCCCUGCUGCACAGUCUUGGGCAAGUCAUCUCACCUCUGUGAGUCUGAUGGCCACUCUGGAACAGAAGCCAUCCGCUCACCUGGGUGGCGCAGGGGGGAGUCCGUGAAGGCACGUGCCUGCACAGUGCCAGGCUCCUAGCAGCUUGCUCACUAAACACGCCCAUCCCUGUGGUGGUUUAGAUUUCGGGCUUAUCUAUUUUCAGUGCCCUGGAACUGCCGAAUCGGCAUCUUCUGAUCCAGAGAUACUUCUGAUGAGCCCUUCCCCUGCCUGCUUUCUUAAUAUCCAUCUCGAAUCAGCUUGGGGAGGUGGCUGCACUUUAUUGCUUCCUGCAUAGCUCCAAAUGCCUCCUGGGGUACCCUCUCAUCAGGAGUGAGCACCUACUGUGGGCCCUUUCCUGGGCUGGUCGCUUGCAGGGGGGAUAUUGGUGAGGCUCUAUGAUUGAAACCUUCAGGAUGGCACAGCCAAACAAUUGCAACUGGAGAAUUGGAGAAGGGAGCAGAGAAGAGUCCACUGAGGCACAGGAUCUGAGUGUUUGGAGGUGGGGUGGGGUGGGAGUAAGGUCCCAGAAUGACCUCUACAGGCUUCCCAGAAAGGCUGAAUCAACCAGGGCCUCAAAGGAUGAGAGAGAUGUGGCUUAGCUGACAGCUUCCAGGUCCCUGGAAGAGAUUCCCAAAGUAAGUUGUAGGAGGUGUCAUUGCUCUUGGAAAACAAAAAAAGAAAAAGAAAGAAAGGAAAGGAAAAGGGAGUUCAAAUUCAACCAGUUUCUAAAACGCAGGACUUAUCAGAGCCUUUAAAGUGCCGAUGGGAAUUUUGAGUACUCUAGGACAGACAGGGUUAAGUGUUCUCCCCUUUUAUGGCAACAGAGCCCUUUUCUUACGGGGCAUCAUUUAGAACUGAGGGGGCCAUUGGGUGGGGCUUCUGUGGGGAUAGGAGAUGACACAGCCUGACACACUUGGGGGGAGAGGGGGCCUUUGUAGCAGUGGCUGGAAAAGGCAGCACACCAGGAGGGGCCGGGGAGUUGGAAAUCGGUUCUAGGAGUCAGUUGAGCUCCAUGCAGUUUUGGUGUGGCGGGAGGCGGGCGAGGGGGGCAGGCCAGUGGUCGGAGUAGCUGGAAGCCUGGCACGUGCUGGAGGAGGUGUCCACUGGACAUGGUACCUCUGGACUUGAUGUCACUGGGGCAUCAAACCUUUUGGGAGAAGGUGCUGGUGUGUGUGUGUGUGCCUGAGCGUGACAGGAUCCAGCCUUCUGGGAAGGGGCUGACCAGAACCAGGCAGGGGUUUCCGGCCAGGACCAGCAGGGUCUAUUUUCAGGGGAAUCGAAGAAGUGUUUUGGGGGAGAGCCCCUGAGCUCCACAGCCGAGAAAUCAGGAAGAAAAACGCUCUGGGGCAGGGUCCAGGCAUAAGCUUGAUUCUGGUGGGGCUGGGGAGCUGGAGGCGGACCCCCUGCCCUGGUCAGGCCCCGCUCCCGGGCUGGUGGGGGCGGGAGGCCUCCGGAGCUGCAGCUGAGGGCCCGGCGCAGUGCUGCAUGGUGUGAUUAACCUACUAACCCAGGGCUCGGCCGGGACGCUGUGGCGUGUGACGAGGUGCCUGGCCUUCCGCCAACCAACUAACCCACUAACCCGGGCCGAGCAUGCCCUACUAACCCCCUGCAGCCAGACCCUACUAACUUGCAGCUCGUGGGCCUUUCGAGGGGCUGGGACGCGGGGGCCGACGGCGCUCCAGAAGGCCCUGCCCGUGGCCUGGGAUCUCUGUGCAGACCCACAUUCCAGGACAGGGCUCUCAAGUACGACUCGCCAAGUCUGCCACUUCCUGCUGAACGAUUUUGAACAAGUCACCUAACCUCUCUGAACCCGUUUCCUCAGCAGCAGAAUGGGACUGUGAUCUUUGCCUCACAGGCUGCUGUGAGAAUUCGCAUAUGAAUGUAAAGUUCUUGACACAUGGCAGAUACUUAAAAAAAAAAAUGUGGGGGUGGGGGCGGGGCUGGGAGGCCCAGAAAACCGGAGCGAUCAUGUCCCCUGCCUUGGUCCUGGUCCUUCUGGGUGUUCUGCACACAGACCCUUCUGCCCGGGGCCAGACACUCGCUUUGAACCCUGUCUCUUCCCCACAUUCUUCCUCGUUCUAAGCUUUCUUUUCCGUAGGCAGCUCUUUUGUUCGAUUACUAACCUGUCUAACCCGGGGGUGCCUCAACUGCAGCCCACGCAUCCCUUAACCAACUAAUGGACCUGUGUGUGUUCUUCCUUUUCUCCUAGUGACUCCUGUGUGUGUCUGCUGAGGUGCCCCCGUCCGCUGGUGCUGUGCUCUGACUUACUAACCCAGCCCCUACUAACCUCGUUUUCUCUUCUUACUAACCCCCGGCCCUGCCGAGCUCUGGGCACCCCUCCUUUCGGCAAGCAGAGUUCCUGGGGCUGGUCCUGCAGACAGAUGCCCCACUUUGCUGCCCCAAUUGGCUGUGAUUUCAGAGUCCCCUGGGGGCCAGGUCUAAGGCAGGGGCCGCCCUAUUAACCACGCCAGGGGCCCAGAGGAGGAGGCGGUCAUGCGGCCGUACGAGCGCAAGCAUCUCUCUUCUGGGCGGAAGUCUGGAAGCCACGGGGAGUGGGCGGGACCAGGGAAACCUCUGGGGUGUGAGUGUGGAGGCCUGUGGGUCUAGAGCAUGGAGACCUGGGCUCUUCCCAGCCAAGGGCCAGAGAGAAGGGGCUUGUGCGUCCCCCUUUGGAGGGAAACGAGGGUGAAGUUCAGGUAGAAGCAUGGUUCUGGACAGGAAGUCAGUAGGAGGCGUGUCCCGCCCCGGAAGUCAGUGAAAGGGGGCGUAGCCCACACCGGAAGUCAGUAAGAGGGUUCCCUGUGUAGGAAGUCAAUGCAAGGGGUCUUUUCCGCCCUGAGAAUCGCUGAGUGGAGCACUUAGUACAGGAAGUCAGCCGGCCAGAGGGGCAUUUCUUACACCAGAAGUCAGUAAGAGGGGUUUCUCACCUUAUCACUAGACAUGAGAAGGAAUGGCCAAGAAUCAGAAGGGCCCUUCCUACAACGGCAGUUGGCUAGAGGGGCCCUUCCCUUCCCUGAAGCUGGGGGAGCCGAGUUCCCCACACCGGAAGGAGAUAUGGGCUAUGUUUCACACUGAAAGUCAUCGGGAAGUGCUGUCCACAUCAGGAAACUUGGGAAGGUAGGGAAGAAAACAGACCCUGUGUUCAGGGGUUCGCAGGGGGAGGAAGUGGGAAGCAAGACGUGAACCCCAGGGCCCCACAGGGUCCUGCAGUCGCUCAGGGCCAACCAGAAAUUCAUCCCCGGCUCCCUGUCCUGUUCCCGCCCAUGGCCCUGCCCCAGCUUGCCUUCCCCAGAGCCCGCCAGCCGCUUCGCCAGGGCCACACCUGGGGGUGAUUUUAUGCCUCACCUCCAGUAGGCACCUUGGUCUGUCUCUGUGGGCUAAUCUCUGGCUCCUUUGCACUAACUCUUGCUCUCACCCAGCUAAUCCCUGCCUCGCCCUGGCUGCCGCUCGGGGGUUGUCCACUAACAGCCAACCCUGCCCAUCCGGGGGCGCCAGGCUCCGGGCCUGGCUCUGAGUGGCUCUUAAUUAACCUCUCCUUCACCUUGACUAACUCCUGCCCUCCUGGUCUGUUCCUUUCAGCGGAAACUAACGGCUUGUGGACUUCUUUCUGACUAACAACAGGUCUAACACUCCUUGUUACUGUUACUAUUAACAGCUUGGAUGUCGGCAUGGCUGGGAUGGGGCUAACGCAGGUUUGGAAACCUGACUAACCCAGGAGGAGGUGUAGCUGGUAGUGUUGGACUUGGUGUCUGCUCUGGUUACAGCUGUCUGUAGUCAGUAAAGAUCGAAGGAUUCUAACGGAGGUGCAAGGGCCGGGGUGUGGCCCAGGCGCGGGUGGGGUCAGAAGCAUAGUCAGCCGUCCAAGGUUUUAGCCACUGGACAUAUCCCAUCAACCUCUAAUAAUCUGCAUAUGGGUUUUGGUUCUUUUAAAUAACCUUACAGCUGCCAUAGUCCAAACGGAUGGCUACAGCUUUUGCGGACUUUGAAACAUCUGUCUGGUGUGUACAGAGCAUAUGCCAUUAUGCAUGGCAUCAUCGGUCACCAGGCCAGGACCUAGACUCCUUGAUUUCGGGACUUCAGGGAUUUUGAAGUCCCAGGACAUGAAGCUUUAGACCUGAGUAUUCAGAAGGGUUCUGAUUCCAUCACCCAUUUACACUUUAGUGUAAAUUAGCUCAGCUUCCUAUUUUGUCUUUUAUGCAGUGUAGCUGUACUGAGAUGUGAGUUUAGCUGGAAGGGGUUUGGACUGCUUCAGGGCUGGGAGAGGGUCCUUUGGGAGCAGAAAAGGGGAGCCAUGGGGCCGGGGGAUCCUGGCUGGGGGUAAAAGGUAGCAUCAAGUCGAGAUGAGGAUGGGAAGAGGGACCAUUUUGCUGGCCUAGUCUGGUAGUCUGGUUCUGUGGGAGAGAGUAGUUCAUGGUAGGGCUUGGAGGAUUGGAUCAGCUCAGGGACAGGGGCCGAGGCUGGCCUGGAGACUUGAAGGCGGUCUUGCUUGGGUCAUUGAGGGCAGGUCUGGGACCAAGAACUUCUCUGACAGCCAUGGGCUUGGAGUAAAUCUAGUGGAGCUGGCAGUGAGGCCUGAAGGGAGGCCUGAGCUGCAAAGGGAACAAGGGAGGAGAAUGCAUCAGGAAGAGUUUGGGGAAGCCACCUGAGUCUUCACAGGGACCCGGGACAGGGUGGAUGGAGCAGCAGCGGGCAGUGCCUCUCUGCUGCCCUCUAGUGGCCGCCUCACCCAUUUCACUCGAAAGCAGGAAGCUCAGGCACCUGGCAUUCGCGGAAAUUCUCUUUACUCCACUACAAGGAUCUGAUGUUGCUGAGGACAAACCGUGUGCCCAGCACUGCUCUGGGUGCUGGGACCCAUCUACGGGCCCUUCCUUCUGGUGCUUGUAUAGCUCAGGGGGGGAGUUGGAGAAGUGAACGUGUAAUGCAGUGAGACAGGUACUAUGCUAGGUAGGGCUGGGCAGGGCUGUGGAAACACCCAGAAGGCGGGCAGGGUUGCUACGCACCUAGUUCGUGCCAGGCGUGGUGCUCGUCGUUGAGGAGGAGUGCUGAUUAAGCCAUCUGCUCUUCAGGACAUUUCAUGCUGGUGUAUCGGGUGGGUGCGGGGUAGAGUGGAGUGUAGGCAGUCAGGGCAGGCUUUCUCAAGUGGGAGACACGUAAGCUGAGCUCUGGUUGGGUGUGGCGGGGGUGAGUUCCAGGUAGUAGGAAUGGCAGACACAAAGAGGGCAUCAGAGAGGGUCGAAGAGGUUCUGGAGGCUUCAUGGGGGAAUGUAGCAGGAGACAGAUGGGAAAUGGACAAGCACGAUCGAGGCCGUGUUGCCAGGGAGUUUGGGGUUUGUCCUAAGGGCAGUGGGGAGCUAUGGAUGUGACCUGAGGAGAGGAGGGGUUAGAUUUGAGUUUCAGGCUGACAGUUUGGCUAUUUCAGCCCAGAUGGAAUUUUGAGGAGCUUAUAAUGAGUUCUGGUCAAUUUUAGACAAGUGAUAAGAACCCAAAGCUCAGGGACCCUUAGACCAGGAUCCCUAACCCCUUGGUGCAGCUCGAGUUAGCACUGCAGUGACUGGGAAGCCAGGCAGAGGCUUGGCUGGGGUGACAGGGACACCUCGGAGAAGGAACAGCCCUGAAGGGGGGUCACCCUGAGCCCCGGAGAAGCUCUGAGGGGAUGUGCUCAUGGGCUGCACGUCUGCAGGAGACUCUCACCUGUCCCGUGUGGCUGUGGGGGGACACGCACAUCCGCACAUCGGAAGUGAGCUUCUAAGAGGUGGAGCCUGGUCCCAGGGAGGGAAAAAUGUGUCAUGGUGGGGGAACAACUCUUCUGGAGGCAGAAGGAGAGGACUAGGACACCUUGGAGACAGACGAUGGUGGUGAGAGUCCAGGAUUCUGCAUGUGAGUGUGCGUGUGUGCACGCAUGUGCGUCCUUGACUUAGUACCAAAGGAAGCCCAUCCCAAGGAGAUGCAGUCUGUUUAUCCCUUCCCACCCAAGGCCUUUGAUGUUCACUCUGGGGUCAAGUUCACUGAACAUCAAGCUCAUUGGGAGGGGGACCUUCUGAGCUGGGGGAUUGGAGGCGUACUGUGCUCGGGAGAUGCCAGGGGUGGGGGACUGCUCCCGUCCCAAUAAAGGAUCCUGAAGGCCCUUCUUCUUGAAA